rnacentral:rRNA from 1 species
GCCUGGCCGUAAAUCUUGAUGCUCGAUAUUACCUGAGCAUCCGCCCGAGAACUACGAGCACAAACGCUUAAAACUCUAAGGACUUGGCGGUGCUCCAAACCCACCUAGAGGAGCCUGUUCUGUAAUCGAUGAUCCACGAUAUUACCUGACCAUUCCUUGCACGAUAUCAGCCUAUAUACCGCCGUCGCUCAGCCCACCUUCCCUGACAGCCCAACAGUGGACGCAAUAGCCUAACCCGCUAGCAAGACAGGUCAAGGUAUAGCCUAUGGAAUGGAAGCAAUGGGCUACAUUUUCUAAGAUAGAACAUACGGAAAGGGAUAUGAAACUGCCCCUGGAAGGCGGAUUUAGCAGUAAAGUGGGACAAUCGAGCCCUCUUUAAGCCGGCCCUGGAGCACGU